AAUCUGCGUGGCUAGAGUUCUGCAGUACUCCCUGCCCCACAGCUGAGAUCAGUUCUAAAUUUAAAGUCGCCGUGACAGAAUGGUUUCCAAAAUUGGAAAACAAGUUUUCCAUCCCCUGUUCUAGUUAAAAUUCUUCAAGUGUUUUCUUUUCCAGUUUCCGAGUUUUGUUUUUCAGAAGAAGUCAUGCUUGGACUUUCCGUUUCAGCCAGCCAGUUUGAGGAGAGGAUUGGACUCACUGCUUUGGAGUAAGUACCGACCUGAACAUGCAGAAUUAAAGUAAGCAGUGGAAAAUGAAAGUCAGGGAAAGAAUCAGCUUCUCACACAUGAGGCAUGAUCUAAGCAGCAAGGGAAUAAGGACCAUUUUCUACCUCUUAGGUAGAAAACAGGAAUAUUUUGAUGUCCUGUUUUCUACCUAAGAGGAAAUUCAGCAAGUGUCUCUUGAAAUCAGCUAUAGGUUGAGCUGGGAGCUUUCAGACUUUAAAUAGCUUUUGAAGUUGACAUUUUUAUCUUCAUUUCCCGCCCAAAAAAAUGCAGCUCAGAGAUUAAAAGGUGGCCUCAGGCCAUAUAUUGGGUCAGUGCUGGGGCUCAGAUUGAAACCCACAUUUGUCCUCUAUCUCAAGACCUCAUGUUCAUUUUAUUGAUAUCAGGCUGAAUACUGUUUUUUACUUGAAAAUUCAACUUUAUUUAUAAAGAUUCCUUUAUCAACCAAGAAGCCAUUCUACCCCUUCAAAGUAACUGAUAAUUUUAAAAAAAUCUACAUAGUUUUUAACCUUUCUACAUAAAACUGUAUUAUGGGAUGAACAAACAGUCUCACAAGAUGCUCCAAGACAUGUAAACAACAACAACAAUGAAAAAUAAAAAACAACAUCUAGCAUGAAUGUUCUAUUGACAGAAUGAAGACUUAGGAAUCAUACUUUUUAAUAUGCGGCUCCACCAAGAAACGUAAACAUGAUAAUACUUUGGGAGGUAAAGGUUUCAUAAUAAACAGUCUUUUUACAUAGGAUAGUUUAAUUGUGAUCGUGUAGGAUUGAUAUUGCAGGCUAGUAUUUAUGCUCAUUUUAUCAAGUAAGUCUUCAUCAUUGUAAAAAGGGCACAGAUAUUUCUACAUAGAUUUUUCUAACAAUGAAAAUACGCAGAUACUGGUUGGUUUCAUUAUUCAGACCAAUUAAUAACAAAUGCAUAAAAAGAACUAAAAAAAAUCAUCAGGUGACUGACUUACAAAAUUAAAAUUUUCCCUGAAAUCAGAGUAUUGUACUUUAUACUGUGUGUGUGUGUAUAUAUAUAUAUAUAUAUAUAUAUAUAUAUAUAUACACACACACACACACACAAUAAAGGUCAGCCUGCUAAGAAAUGAAUGUUCUAGUAAUGACUUAAGUAAUAACUUCCACUGGCAUCUCUUCUUCUGGGUCUCCAUUUGUCCCACUGAUGUUUGCCCAAAAAAUAAACACAUUACGAUAGCAACUGAGUUUACUAUCAUCAGUGGUACUCAUAGCAUAUUUCUUACAAAUGGAAUAAGGUUCAUUAGCUGAGAUUUAAUUCCUGGUUCCUCUCUUAAUCUGCCAAUUCCCUGGUGUGUGAUUAUCCACUAGGAUUUGAGGAAAUGUGUUUCUCAGUUCCCCAAUACCACUUGACAAGAUCUCCUUCAAUUUGAUUCUAGUGCUGAGGGUCAGUAAGUGAGAGGCUGUUGAAUGAGGCAUGUGAGAGGAGGGUACUGAAGGCUUACUGGAGUGAGAAUACAGACUCCUCUCCCACAGUUUGACGUUGAGUGCCUCCAUUAACCUAUGCGAUCACCAGUGUCCUCAUUAUAAAAUGGGAGUUAUAUUUGCUUUCUAGAGUUGUAGGGUUAAAUGAGAUUAUAUAUAUAUAUAUAUAUAUAUAUAUAUAUAUAUAUAUACACAAGCUUAUAAUAGGGCCUUGCAAGUGGUAAGUACUCAAUAAAAUGUUAUGGUUUGGAUCUGAAAUGCCCCCUCACAGGUUUGUGUGUUGAAAGCUUGGUCCCCAGAGCAGCCAUGUUCAGAGGUGAGGCCUUUGUGAAGGUGAUUGGAUCCUGAGGGCUCUGACCUUAUCAGUGGAUUAACCCCCAUAAUUGGCAUUAUUUGGAGGUAAUAGAGGCAGAGGCUGGUUGGUGGAAGUAGGUUACUGGGGGCAUGCCCUGGAAACAUGUAUCUUAUCUCUGGACACUUUUUCUCCCCUGGAUUUCCUGCCUGCUCUGAGCUGAGCAGCUUCCCACCACCUGUCCUUCUGCCAUGGUGUCCUGCCUCAUCUCAGGCCCAGAGCAUCGGAGCCAGCUGACAGUGGACUGGGACCUCUGAAACUGCAAGCCCAAACAAUUCUUCCCUCCUUUAAGUUAUUGUUAUCAGGUAUUUGUCACAGUGGCAAAGAGCUGGUGGCACAACUGUUAUUACUGUUUGUUAAAUGGUCUGAUUAAAGAAUGCUGAUUAAUUUAUCAAUUUGAACCCGAAAUGCUGUUCCCAGGAGGUGGCAGAAUUCUUCCUUAAGCCAGAUCCUACUCCAUAGGAUACUCAUCACAUUUAGGGUGAUCUGAAGCUGGGAGCUGGGGUGGCUGUGCACCAAGUGUCUCUCAUCCUACUCUCGGGACCAGCCUCUUGGGAUCUUUUUUUUUUUAAAUAUUUAUUUUUAGUUGUAGUUGGACACAACACCUCUAUUUUAUUUAUUUAUUUUUAUGUGGUGCUGAGGAUUGAACCCAGGGCCCCGCAUGUGCCAGGCGGCGCUCCACCACUGAGCCACAAUCCAGCCCCUCUUGGGAUCUUUCCUCCUCUGAGUUGUUCCUGUUGAGUAUUUAGGUCACAGUGACUAAAAUCUGACGAAUACAAUCAUAUAAAGAAGAAACUAGACAUAUUUUGAAUUAUUUCAUGUGAUAGAUCUUAGACUCAUGUUUUAAGAAAAAGAGUAUUGAAAUCUGAAUCAGAAAAAAAUCACUUUUUACCACUCUUUACCAGUUAUGUGACCUUGGCUACUGCACACAACUUCUCGGGUCUCUAUGUCCUCAUUUGUUAAGAAACAAUAAUAUAAAUAAGUCAGUCUUCAUGGGAGGAUUAAAAGAGAUAUGUGCCUGUAUAAAGAAACAGAUCUAAUAGAUAUAUACAGACAUGGGAGAGGAUUUGCUAUGGGAAUUGGUUCAUGCAAUGUUCCAGGAGCAUUGUUCAGAGUCUAAAGGCCUCAGAAUGGGGGAGCUGGUGGUGUAACUCUCAGUCUGAGGAAGAGGGGUGGAGAUGGUGGACUGCUGUUAUAAGUCCUCGAAUCCAAAGGCUGAAAAACCAGGAGGUCUGAUGUAGAAGGACAGGAGAAGAUGGAUGCCCCUGUUCAAGCAGAAAAAGAGAAAGAAUUCACCUUUGGUGGCUUUUCCUCCCCACCCAUGCUCACAACGGAUUGGAUGGUGUCCACCACAUAGGUGAGGACAGAUCUUCUUUACUUAGUCUGGUGAUUCAAAUACUAAUCCUUCUAGAAACACUCUCACAGACACACCCAUGAAUAAAUAAUGUUUUACAAGCCAUAGGGACAUCCCUUUACUCAGCCAAUUGGCAUCUAGGAUAAAGGGCUGUAUACUUCAGGUAUAAUCAUAUAGUGUCAGGCUCCUGUUUGAUUUAGGAUAAUGGCCUCAAGGUUUGGAAUGGCUGCUUGGGGGAGGUAAUGAGACUGUCUAAGCUAGUUGGAGACUCCUAGGAGUCUCUGGCAAGGAUGUGUGGAUUUCAGGCAAUGGGGGGAUCCUCCACCAGAUUAACUACCCAAGUCCCUUUCACUCCAGGCCAUCUGCAAUUCUGCUGAAGAGAGAGUGUGCCAACUGUAUAAAGAGAAAGCACUGAGUAGCUGCAGAUCUUAUCUGUGGCCUGGGAUGGUGAUUUAGGACGCUUGAGUGAAAAGUCCUAGAAAGGGCUGUAAUUUUAUCAUCCUAGCAACUGUUGCUAGGUGCUGCCUCCCUUAGGUCAGAACCAUGCCCAUUGACCUGCCAUUCCACCUGAAAUAUUACAUUUAUUCCCCAGAUUCAUUCCAGGGAGUAAAUGUAAGUGAAAGAAAUUGGCUGGGUGGACACUGUGCAAACUGAAGCCAACUGAAGCCCAUUUAGAGAGAAAUGACCACUUCUCAACCUUAGCUAAUUGUUGACCACUGGCCAUUUGAGAAUGUGGGUCAUGAGUUUUCAGGCCUGUCAGUUGUCAAGGGAAGCCAGGAAUCUGGGUUACAUGGGAAAUGUCCCAACUUCUAAGGAUUGAAAAGUUCUUUAAAUGUUAAUUAUUUAUUAAAUACUGGGCUAGCCAAAUAAUGUGAGGGCCAAAUGAUACAGUUCUCAAGUAGUAGUUGCACCAGGGGAGAAGCAAGGGAGAAUAUCAAACUUUCAUAUUCUAUAUGAAAUAUAGAAUCCAUCUUUUUUGUGGUUGGGAUCACAGAACAUUCUUGAAAACAUAGGCAAUAAGUUUGCACAUUGGAUUUUAAGAUUAUGAUCAAGAGAGUAAUGACCAAAAGACAUUAGUUAAGGCUCUGUGAAAGCUAAAUGUCAAAACAACUAGAAAAGAUAAAGGGUGACAUUUUUUUAAAAUGUUGUAAUUAUUUCCCCACAAUCCUCUGGGAAAAACUUUCUCAGCUUGCCUGUCAAUACCUGCCACUAACGUCGUAAUGUGACUCGGUUUAUUUAAUAUUAGUUUAGUCUUUUCCCGCCAAAGAAAGAAGUACAGAACUCUACAACACUUUGAUUAACAUAGAUUAAGUUUUAUGGGAAGGAGAGAAUAAGCAAGCGAUUGGCCUGGAACCCAGAGCCUAACCAUGAAGAUUGUAAGCCUCACUAAGAUACCACCAAUAUAAGUGUUGAACAGCUAGUUCCCUGAAAGCCCUUGUUUAUGUCAUCUGCCUAAUUACACUUUGCAACCAUGGCUAAUUUCAAUCCACCAAUGUGAUGUCACCAAAAUUGGGAUUAGAGAGAGAUGGCACAGUUGGCUCCAUUUUCCCUCUGGGCCUAUCACAGUGGGAUCUUGCAGCAGAGUGGAAAGUAAGAAGGCACAGGUACUAGACAGUGGGUCUGAGGAGGUCCCACUAAGCCCAGUCCAAAUACCUCCUUCUGCAUAAGGCCUUAUCAGAAUCUUCUAUCUGACUGUGGAAGGUAUAUCCUUAACUGAUUAGGAUAUCAAACACAAAAUUUAAUUAAGUAAUGUCAUAUCCUGAUUGGCAGUUAUAGAUAUCCAUGAAUGAUGAAAAUAACUAAUUACGGAGACAAAUCAAACCUAGGCACAAGAUUGUCAGCUCCAUGGACAUUCCUUUCUAUCAAAUAUAGAAUCCUUUUUUGUGUGUGUGGUUGGUAUCACAGAACAAUAGGUCUGGAUGUGUGGAACCUCUGAGCUCUGGUCUAUAUCUCUGGAUGUUAGGUAGCCUUACAAGCUGGUUAACUCCAAAAUUGUUGUAAUAACAUAAUUAUUAUUUUUAGAGGGUAAGCACCUUUGGCCUCUGGGAAAGCUUUGAAUUAAAUAUAGAAAUAUUGAAGAGAUCAAACCCAUCAACUUUUUGGGAUUUAUGGAUUAAUGUUGAGAAAUAAAUUGUGCACAUUUGGUGUUUUAAGUAUAGUCAUUCUUCAGUCUCCAAUAGAGAGUAGUUCCCUGUGGAUACUAAUAUCUGCUUAUGCUCAAGUAUUUUCCAUGGUGCAGUAUUUGCAUACAUCCUCCCCCAUACUUUCAAUCAUCUCUAGAUUACAAUGCUCAAUAUAAAGCAAACAUUAUGUAAAUAGUUGUUAUGUUGUAUUGCUUAGAGAAUACCAACAAAAAAAUCUGUUCAUGUUCAGUAUAGAUGAAAUUAUUUUUCCUGAAUAUUUUUGAUUGCUAGCGAUGAUCAACUUUUUUUUCAUAUAUUUGUUGAUUGAUUAUAUAUCAUCUUCUGAGAGGUGUCUGUUCAGGUCCUUGGCCCAUUUAUUGAUUUUUUUUUGGUGUUUAGUAUUUUGAGUUCUUUAUAUACCUUAGAGAUUUGUGCUCUAUCUGAUGUGUGAGGGGUAAAAAUUUGCUCCCAAGAUAUAGGCUCUCUAUUCACCUCACAGAUUGUUUCUUUUGCUGAGAAGAAACUAUUUAGUUUGAAUCCAUCCCAUUUAUUGAUUCUUGAUUUUAAUUCUUGUGCCAAAGGAGUCUUACUAAAGAAGUUGGGGCCUAAUCCCACAUGAUGGAGAUUAGGGCCUACUUUUUCUUCAAUUAGACAUAGGGUCUCUGGUUUUGUUCUUAGGUCCUUGGUCCAUUUUGAGUUGAGUUUUGUAUAUGGUGAGAGAUAGGGGUUUAAUUUCAUUUUGCUGCAUAUGGAUUUCCAGUUUUCCCAGCACCAUUUAUUGUAAAGGCUACUAUCUUUUCUCUAAUGUAUGUUUUUUGGCACCUUUGUCUAAUAUAAGAUAAUUGUAAUUUUGUAGAUUAGUCUCUCCAUCCUCUAUUCUGUACCAUUGGUCUACCAGUCUGUUUUGAUGCCAAUACCAUGCUGUUUUUUGUUACUAUUGCUCUGUAGUAUAGUUUAAUAUCUGGUACAGUAAUGCCACCUACUUCACUCUUCCUUUUCUAUGAGGAAUGUCAUUGGGAUUUUGAUUGGAAUUGCAUUAAAUCUGUAUAGUGCUUUUGGUAGUAUGGUCAUUUUGAUAAUAUUAAUUCUGUCUAUUCAAUCUAUAAUUGGUUAAUUCCACAAAUGGUUAAUCCACAAUUGGUUAAUCCCACAGAUAUGGUGGACCAACUACAUUUGUAUUGUUUAAAUAAACUGGAGUCAGAGAUUAGCCUUACAAGUCUAUUAAUAUUAUUAAAUAACUCACAGUAAGUUGUGGCUGUUUAGUUCAGCUGGUUGGAGCGUGGUGCUAAUAACUCACAUUAGUUUGUUUUACAUUGUAGUCUUUACAUCAAGGUCUUUCUAAAAUGACACACAUUGAUGGACGUCAUUAUACAAAGUACAUGUAUGAAGACUUGAAUUGGGUGUCAACAUACUUUAUAAACAAAUAGAGAUAUGCAAAAUUGUGGUAUAUAUGUGUAUUAAGAAUUGUAAUGCCAAAAAAACCCCCCACAAAGUACAUGUAUAAAGGCAUGAAUUGGAGUGAACAUACUUUAUAUAGAGAGAUAUGAAAAAUUGUGCUCUAUAUGUGUAAUAAGAAUUAUAAUGCAUUCCACUGCUGUCGUAUAUUUAAAAAAAUAAAAUCAAUAAAAUAUUUUAAAAAUGACAUACAUUUAACAUAAUUUAAGAAUAUUACAUUCGUAAGUUUAUUAGAUUUGUAGGGGUUUUUUAAGCACUCAGGAAGAUUUUGCUUAUUAAAUUACAGUGCUUGAAAGGAGAAUUAAAUACUUUAUAUUUAUAAGUAAGUUUAAAUUAUUUAUGAUCAUCUAAUUAAGUUGUAAAUAUAUCCUUAGUAGGGACUGCUGAAAUUUGCUAGAGCCAUACUAUUCAUUUUAUAAAAUAAUAAGAUUCAUAAAUUGCAUUAAAAACUAAAGGAAAAUUUAAAAUUUGUAACCUAAAUGAAAUGAAUAUUAAUUCUGGAAACAGAAAUAACCUUUGAGUAAUAUUUUGGGGCACAAAAGCCACUCUUGGGAGUAUCCAACAAUCUUUCAUUGUCACUUAACUCCCACAGGCAGAGUUAUUUUCUGCCUCCCUGUGCCUUGUUCCCCAGUAUUUGUGCAAUGCAUUCAACUGUACCCAGGCCACACUCACUGUGUUAGUUUGCAAGAUUCCCUUUCUCAUGAGACUCUGUAUUCUCUUGGAACAAGUGCAAGACUUGGCGCUAGGGGGAAGAUUUCAAAAUCUAAAAGAAACAUUUGCUAAAUAGUGGGGAGUAAAUAGUGGGGAGAAGCCUGAGAAGGGAGGAGAAAGUAGCACCAGGAUGGACUUGGGGCAGGUGUGUGGAAAGGAGGCCAAGGGUUGACCUCCACUUGCCUUCGUGGCCUGGGCUCUCGCAUAACUUCUCUUUCAAGCUCCAUGUGAUUCUGCAGCUGUUUGUGUAUCUUAGAGUUGGGCUCCAUGUUUUGAUAAGUGGCUCUUCUCCACAUUCCAAACACUCAUUCAGCAUGAGAUUAUGCCAACACUUGCCCAGUCGUCAUUUGUAGAAGGAUUCACUGAAUUAUGUCAUCUCAUGACCUGAUGCAGCUGUUCCAAGGCUAUCAGAAGUCACCGUCUCCUUGACAAAGUGGCCUCGGUGAAAGCAACAACUGCUUUUCUUGGUCCAUUUCCUGUUGCUAUAGCUUAAUAGCACAAUCUGUGUAAUUUAUAAAGAAUAAAGGUUUAUUUGAUUCUGAAAGCUGGGGAGUUCAAGAUCAGACAGUUGUCUCUGAUGAGGAUCUUCUUGCUAGUGGGGACUCUCGGCAGAGCUCGGAGAUGGUAUAGAACAUCACAUAGGAAGAUAGAACAGCUUAGCUGAGGUCUUUCUCCCUCUUCUUAUAAAGCUAUAGUCCCAUUGGAUUAGGGCCGCACCCUUAUGGAUUAUUUUACCUUUGACACCUCAGAAGGAUGUCACCUCCAAAUAUCAUAAUUGGAUUAAAUUUUCACCUGUUAAUGCUCACAAUGGGGAUUAAAUUUCAACUUCAGUUUAGAUAACAGCAUUAAAUCCAGAGCAGAAAGUAAGUCCAGAUAUUUGGGCAUUAAAAAAAGUGGAUUUGUUUUAGCUAUAAGAGUAAGAGAAAAUUGAGAACCUUGGGUGGCUAUGUUUUAUCCAUCUCUAUGAUUCCACCUUGAAUAGAAUCAUAGAAAUGAAAGGCACAUGGUAGACAUUUAAUUAUUUGCUGCAUGAAGAAAUAAGAGCAUGGAUGAAUAAAAAAGCAUGACUCAACAAAAGGAGCUGAAGUCUAUAAAGAUACUUUCAUAGAUGGUGGUGGUAACUGGCAGCUCUUCUGUCUGUUUGCAAUAGCACCCCCUCUUCCUCAGGAGCACUAUGGAUCUAUGGAUUCAGGUAUGAUUAGGAGCUAACCUCUUUCCUCAAAUUCCAUGCCCAGGCUGUAAGGAUUGGACAGAGCUAAGCACCUGAGCCAACCUGAGCCAGUCUGAGUUCCCCAGACAUUCCCAGGGAGCCUCUGUCAUUCAAGACCUCCCAUGAUUAGAAUAGAAUUGGCCAAAGAGUGAGUGAGAGAGAGAGAGAGAGAGAGAGAGAAUAUUAAAGGCAUUAGGAGUUUAGUCAUCCCUGAGGUCUGUUUUUUUUUUUUUUUUUAGUAUUAUUUUUGCCUAAACCAGUUUGAGGUAGUAGUUUUGAAAUGCAGAGUGUAUUAGUAUAAUGGGCAAUGAUGGUGCCAAUAAUAAUAGUUUAGUAUUGAGUGCCUUCUGGGUACUGAGUACUUUAUUUAGAGUAACAUAAAGCUGACACAGAUGCUCUUGCUCUUGUUCUACCUGGUGAUAGGCUCUUAGGAGGAGUCAAAGAGGAGGAAGAAGAAUACUUAAAACAUGGCUGUUGGAGUAAGGGAGACUGUAAGGUGAGAAAUGACAAGAAUAUGGAUGAGGACAGUGGAAGUGAGGAUUGAUUCUGGACUCUCCAUUCUGUGAGAUGCAGUUACAGCAGGCAGACGUUAGCUCCCCUCUGAGGCUUACAAUGCUCCAGGCACCGUCCUGUGGGCUUCACAUGCAUUAAAUGGCUUAAUCCUCAUAUAGGACCUAGAGGUGGGAACUGAUGAUAACCCCCUGUUUCAAUUGUACCUAGGACUGAAUUUAUGGAGGUGACUGAGUGACAACAUAGAGAGGUCAAUGCCAUUGAAAGAAGUUUAUUACUCACAGAUUCAGAGGAGAAGGUUUGCCAUGACAUGCNUCCAUCUCUAUGAUUCCACCUUGAAUAGAAUCAUAGAAAUGAAAGGCACAUGGUAGACAUUUAAUUAUUUGCUGCAUGAAGAAAUAAGAGCAUGGAUGAAUAAAGAAAGCAUGACUCAACAAAAGGAGCUGAAGUCUAUAAAGAUACUUUCAUAGAUGGUGGUGGUAACUGGCAGCUCUUCUGUCUGUUUGCAAUAGCACCCCCUCUUCCUCAGGAGCACUAUGGAUCUAUGGAUUCAGGUAUGAUUAGGAGCUAACCUCUUUCCUCAAAUUCCAUGCCCAGGCUGUAAGGAUUGGACAGAGCUAAGCACCUGAGCCAACCUGAGCCAGUCUGAGUUCCCCAGACAUUCCCAGGGAGCCUCUGUCAUUCAAGACCUCCCAUGAUUAGAAUAGAAUUGGCCAAAGAGUGAGUGAGAGAGAGAGAGAGAGAGAGAGAGAAUAUUAAAGGCAUUAGGAGUUUAGUCAUCCCUGAGGUCUGUUUUUUUUUUUUUUUUUAGUAUUAUUUUUGCCUAAACCAGUUUGAGGUAGUAGUUUUGAAAUGCAGAGUGUAUUAGUAUAAUGGGCAAUGAUGGUGCCAAUAAUAAUAGUUUAGUAUUGAGUGCCUUCUGGGUACUGAGUACUUUAUUUAGAGUAACAUAAAGCUGACACAGAUGCUCUUGCUCUUGUUCUACCUGGUGAUAGGCUCUUAGGAGGAGUCAAAGAGGAGGAAGAAGAAUACUUAAAACAUGGCUGUUGGAGUAAGGGAGACUGUAAGGUGAGAAAUGACAAGAAUAUGGAUGAGGACAGUGGAAGUGAGGAUUGAUUCUGGACUCUCCAUUCUGUGAGAUGCAGUUACAGCAGGCAGACGUUAGCUCCCCUCUGAGGCUUACAAUGCUCCAGGCACCGUCCUGUGGGCUUCACAUGCAUUAAAUGGCUUAAUCCUCAUAUAGGACCUAGAGGUGGGAACUGAUGAUAACCCCCUGUUUCAAUUGUACCUAGGACUGAAUUUAUGGAGGUGACUGAGUGACAACAUAGAGAGGUCAAUGCCAUUGAAAGAAGUUUAUUACUCACAGAUUCAGAGGAGAAGGUUUGCCAUGACAUGCAGGGCCACAGUGUCACAGGGAAGUACUAGGGUCAUUCAGGAGUCUGAGGAGCAAGGAGAAUGCAUUCCAGAGCCUUUCUUGUGGUUUUCCUGGGAAAGAAAGAGUGUGGCAGGGUAGGUGAGUUGAGAAAAUUUAGGAUUGACUGCUCUUUGAAAUUUUUCAUUUCGUGGUAGACUGAAUUAGGUGCCCUAAUUUUUGGUACCUGUUCCAGGGAUGAUUUAGAAUAGGGGAAAUUUUGGUUUGGUGUGUGAGAAUUAGAUAAAGAAGGUUGUUGGAGACAUAGGCUUUGUUGGUGUGUAUAUGAAAGGCAAGCUGACAACUAAAUGGUUGGCUAUCUCUAGGCAUUACUUAGCCUCGGAAGCGACAGUCUCUUCAUGGCCUGCAAGAUGUCAAAAUAUCAAAGCAUCAUAAGGUAUAGAAAUUUAACCCCUUGUCCCUGGCUUGAUAGGCUAGGGAAUUAUGAUGAAGAGGGGAUGAUUAAUUUGCACAAGGUAACCCAGCCAAGUGGUGAAGCUGGAUAUUCAAUCAGGGGAUGGCCUCUAUGUUUAAUCAUUGUGAUAAUCACCUCCAGAUUCAUUUAGUCUUUCUAAAAAUGGUAACAUGCAAGAGUUCAGUAACUCUGGAAAACUUUUACACAUAAAUAAAAUUUAUUUUAUGGUAUGUAAGAAUAUUGGAGACAAUUUUUCAAUGUUCACAUGAACUUAUAAUCUGCUAUUGCAACUUGAAUAAAUAUGUUUCACUUUUGUGAUCAAAGGAAAUAUGUUGUCAUGGAGCAGAAUGCCUUCCAGAGUCCCACAGGGCCUAUUUGACUCCAGUGGCAUUUUUGAUUAAUAAGGAGCAGGUGGCAUGAAUGUGGCUAGGCCAACAUUCAUCUCUCAGGGGUGGUUUAGAUUUAGGCUGGACUGAAACAGAGAGAUGGUCCUUCAUGACCUUUCAAGGUUUACUGGGGACAUAACAUAAUUUCUUUCUGGUUUCCUUAUCUGGCUAAUCCACAGUUUUCUCCUGGUUUUCACAAAAGGAGCCAAAUGAAUUAUUCAAGUCACUUCCAUAUUUUUCAAGUGAGGUAGACUAGCACAGCAUUGUAAAUAUCUCUUCACCUUGCUUUAUCCCUUUUACAAAAUGUUUAAGUGGAAAUACAUAUUUAGAUGAAAAUUGUGAAUUCGUAAACAUCAGUUAUUUCUUUUUGUGAAAAAAUUAUCAUUACUUUUUCCCAAAUAUUUUUAUUUCAAAUAAUAUUUCAUUCAUUUGCUCUUAUGUAAAAAAAGGACAAAAACUCACAAGUAAACCAUAGCACACAUUUCUUGUAUAGCUGUGGCAUAUAAGGUUUCUUGCUGCAGGCUAUUAUUAAAAUAUCUUAUUUUGAUGUCUUGUUUAUAGAUGUGUUACCUUAUUUAACUCACAUAAUAAUUCUGCUGAGGCAGGCAGGAUGGGCAAAGACAUGAUGGUAGGUGCUGUUUUUUGUCUGAGGAGCCACAUUUCUUAUCCUGCGAAUAACAAGAACCCUCAUUGGCUUGCCAUCAGGGAGGUCCAAAUGCUUUUGGUGCAUAACCAAAAGGUUAGGGGCCUGUAGUGGUUGACAAUGGUUUGACUGCUCAUUGAAACCAUUGGGCACUCACCUCCUUCCACCUUUCCAUCCUUAGUUGGCUCUCCAUACUUAUGGCUGCUAAGGUGCAACCUCUUGUUUAAAUUUUACACAGAAAACACUGGUAGGAAUUGACUCAGUUUGACCCCUUCUCACUGUGCAACAACUUUUUUAUUUUUAACCUUGAAAUAUCUAUAUCUAUAUCUAUAUAUAUAUAUAUACAUACACACACAUACACACAUAUAUGAAUAUAUAUAUAUAUUUAUAAAUGCAUAUUCUAUAUAUUAAUAUUAUAUUUCAAUAUAUUUAUAUUUAAAUAUUUUAAAUAUACAUAUUUUAUACAUAUUUUAAAUAUACAUAUUUAAAUAUAUUCAUAGAAAGAUAGAUAUAGAUAGUUGUUCAUGGAUCUAAAACAUUAACUGUACAAGGUUAUACUUGCUGGGAGAAGGAAAUGAAGGAGAGAAAAUUAUCUUUUCAUCCUUUAGCUACAAAGUUGACUACAGAGGGUGGUGAGAAGAAUCAGAUGAUUAUUUUUACAUUAGCUUUUUAACACACAGCUUUGUCACAUUUUCCCUGACAUCCAUCUCUAUUCUUAACCAAGUUUUGGUCUUGUACUCCUACGGGGACAAUGAGUCAUAAGGUCUUGGCCAGAACUUUUGGAAGGAACAGUAACUUCUGAGUUAGAAAGCCAGGGGACGGGCUGGUGGCAUAUGUCAAUGGUAUAGCAGUUGCCUAGCGGUGCCAAGGCCUGGGUCAUACCCCCAGCACCAAAAGGAUCGGGGGAGCCAGAAAGACAUUUUGAGGGCACAGAUUCCAGCUCAGCACCACUGAAGACUCCCCUAAAGUCAUACUUGGGAAAGUAUGGUGGUUUCUCUGGUGUCCAACUUGGUGAGAUGACCAUUUCUGUUAAUUAAUCCCACACUAACCUAAACUUUGAUUUGAAGGUAUUGUGCAUAUAUGAUUAAAGUCCAAAAGCAGUUGACCUUAAAUAAGGGAGAUGAUCUUAAAUAGUGUGGGAGAGCCUAAUUCAGACAGUUUUAAGGUCCUAAAGGCAGAGCUGAUGCUUUCUUGAGGAAGAAGAACAUCUACCAUGGAUAGCAGGCUAGCCAGUGCUCAGGUUGUCUAGCCACCCUACGGAUUUCAGAUAUGCCUAGCUAGGCCCACACUCAGGUGAGUUACUUCCUUUCAACAGAUCUCUUAAUAAAUGUCUUCCACUGGCCUGAAUGAACCUUGGUUUAGACAGAUGGUAUUACUUGAUAACUUGAGAGAGUGAGAAUUUCAACUCACUAAAUGAAGGUUUCGAUUUGUAUUGAUUUUUAAUGGGUCUGUAAUUGUAUUAGGAAUGGAUUCUGAUCAUCUGUGACCUCAUCAAUCUGAUUUUUUUUUUGCAGGAGUCACUACUUUUAAGGUCACCAAUAAUGUUGAAAACACUUGAAAAGAUGGAGGUAUAAAUAUAAAAAUAAGCAUGAAUAUACAUACAGAUCACAAUAUGUUUAUUCUCCCAUACAAAUUAAAUUUUAUUUGAUGUUAAAAACAUAGACUAUUGGGCUCGAGAUGUGGCUCAAGCGGUAGCGCACUCGCCUGGCAUGCGUGCGGCCCGGGUUCGAUCCUCAGCACCACAUAUAAACAAAGAUGUUGUGUCCGCCGAAAACUAAAAAAAAAUAAAUAUUAAAAAAAUUCUCUCUCUCUCUCUCUCUAAAAAAAAAUAUAGACUAUAUCCCCAUGUUAAUUUUUCAUUCCACCUUAAGAAUAGAAUAUUUUAAAAAAUUAGGGUUGUCUUCUCUGCGUAAUUUUGACUUUGCUGCUGUUCUCAAAAGCAGAAUGUAAACCUCCCAAAUUUGGAAUGCUUAGAGGAAGAAAAACAAGGAUUGCAUUGGAAAAGGCAGAACCAGAGUGAAAAGCCAGUGUAAAGACCGAACGCUCAGUUCUGACUCUGGCGAAGCUGUGGGUUGCAUUUCCAGAACUUCUGCCGCCUGCCCUGUCUCAUACUGAAGCAAUGAUGCCCAUUUGCUUAGUAGUGGGUUUCAGAGAUCACUUUUUCAUCCUUGAUUCCUCUCCAUAUCUUUUCAAUCUCCCAGUAAAAUUAAUCAAUAUGUACAUAUAUCUUUUUACUUGUCACCAUCCUUAUGUUUACAACUUGAUUUCAAACCACCAUCCGUUUUCACCUGAAAUGAUUCCAAAGCUCUCUGUCUGAACCUUCUGUCUUCACACUUGCUGAACUCAAAGAGAAACAAAAGUGAUCUUUCUUAAGGAUCAAUUGGACCCAAUGUUUUAGAAUGAAAGUUGCUGUUUUCCAUGCUGACUAGCCCCUCUGUAACCUGGAUCCUGACUCCCUUCCUAACCCAUCUCUUGCCACUCUCUCCUCUCCUCUCUGUGCUCUCCAAUCUGCGACCCCUUUUACCCAUCCCCCAUUUCAGGAUCUUUGCACAUGACACUCCUUCUGCUCUAAAGGUUCUUAUUUGGCAGUUGCUUUAUGCAGUUGCUUCUGUCUUAGCACAGAACUCUUAUCAUUAGUACAUAAAGGGCAUGUACAGGGGGCUGGGAUUGUGGCUCAGCAGUAGAGCACUGGCCUAGCACAGGCAGGACCCAGGUUCGAUCCUCAGCACCACAUAAAAAUAAAGGCAUUGUGUUGUGCCCAUCUACACCUAAAAAAAUAAAUAUUUAAAAAAAUAAAAAUAAAGGGUAUGUACCAUGGACCCUUAGUACAUAAAGGGCAGAGAGACAUUGGCCAUAAUCUUAUGCCCAGUAUUCAGGAAGUGUCCACUAAUGUAUUUGUCAAAUUUAUCAAGCAAGCUAAAAUAGUAUUCCCUUGGAGAAACCUCUCUGGGCAUCCUAUGAAACCUCACCCAUCCCAGUUACUUUUUGUCAUAAAAUUAUAAGUAUGGGAAUAAAUUAUGUAUUCAUUUUAUUUUUUUUGUUAUUGACCUUCCCCAAGCUAACAUAGACUCAGAGAAUUUAAUCCCAAAAUAGGUUUAAAGUAUCAAUAGGAUAAAUUUGCCUAUUAAAAAAGAAAAGUACUAAAAUAAAUAAAAUGCUAAAUUCAAACUGCAGACUAUUACAUAAGAUACAGAUCUUAAUAGAUUGUCUUUGUAUGGUCAAGUGAAUUAUAGGGAAAAGAGACACUGGGAUGGUGAUAUUAAUACCAGAUAAGACUGAAUUCAAGGCAAGCUCUAUUAAUUGAGAUAAAGAGAAACACUUAAAAAAUAACAAAACAGUGUACAAUAAUGAAAUCUUUAAUUUUUAUGCAGAAAAAAUACCAUAAAAUACAUAAAUCAAAAACUUCAGGAAAUUCAAAGAGAAAUAAAAAGAAAUAUAAUAGUAACAGAAAACUUAAAUUUACCUUUCAACCAUAGCAGAGCAAGUAGACUAACAAUAAGAGCAUUGUUUUAGUCCAUUUUGUGUUGCUAUAACAAAACACAUGAGGUUGGGUAAUUUGUAAUGAAAAGAGGCUUACCUAGCAAGAAUUUUAGAGGUUCAAAGUUCAGAAUUAGCAGCCACAUCUGGAAAGGGCCUUCUACUGUGUCAUAACAUGGUGUCACAUGGCAGGAGUUGUAGGUCAGGCCAUGAGCAGCAUGUGUGGAAGAUCUCACAUGGUGAGAGAGGAAGAGACUAGAUGGAGUCAGGCUUGCUUUUUUUUAUAGUAACCCACCAUCAUGGGAAUUAAUCUACUCGUGUGAGACCUAACUUAUUCAUGAGAUAAGCACUAAUCCCUUCAAUAGAAUGAUCAUGACCCAAACACUUCCCACUAGACACCACCACUUAAAUAUCCCACCACUGUUCAGUAUCAUCACACUAGGGAACAUGCUUUCAACGUAUGAGCCUUUCAGAGACAAACAGCAUACAAACCAUAGCAAACAUGCAGGGUCGGAAGAACCUAAUUAACUAGGUUGGUGUCACAAUCACAUGUUUAACAUCAUAGUACUGUAACAGACAAUGCACAGUCUUUUAUUUAGAUGCAUAAAUUAAUAAAAGUUAAAAUAACUUAAUCCAUGAUAUCUGACCACAAUUUUUAACACAAGUAGAAUCAAAAUGAAUGUUUGUUACUUGGAAAUGACAACAUUUUUUUUUCUGAAACCACAUAUGGUUCAGAGAAAAACAAUCAUAUUCUUAAGGUCACAAAGAAAAUCACCAUAAAUUAAUGAAGGUUAAAAUAACUUAAUCCAUGAUAUCUGACCACAAUUUUUAACACAAGUAAAAUCAAAAUGAAUGUUUGCUACUUGGAAAUGACAUCAUUUUUUUCUGAAACCACAUAUGGUUCAGAGAAAAAUAAUCCAAACAACUCUCAAAUACCUAUCUAAUAAUGAUGAUUAAAACAUUAUAUGUCAAAAUAGAAGAAUUUGUUAAAGUUGUACCCAGGGGCACAUGCAUCACCUUAGCACAUGUGUUUAUUUAAAACUUAAAAAAAAGUAAGUGAAUAAAGUAUUCAACUCAAAAAGUAAGAAAAGGAAAACAAAAAAAUCAAGGGAAAACAAGAAAAAAUAAAGAUAAUUACAGAAAUAAACUAGAAUGCAGAAAAAAAGAACCAACAGAUCCAAUAACUAGUUCUUUGAAAGAGAAUACAGAUAAACUUCUAGAUAGUAACCAGUGAAAUUGGGGGUAAAUCACAAAUAGCAUAAUUGAGAUAGACCAAGGGAAUAAACAACAUCAAUAAGGGAAGUUAAAACAUUUAUGGAACUACCUUUCAAAACUCUACGCAUUUAUAUUUGAAAACUUUUAUGACCAAACACCACAAUUCAGCUUAAAAACUGCAAAAGAAGAAAUGCUAUUGUAUGUUUCAGUAAAUAUUGAGUACAUAAUAUCUCUGUGUUGGGGCUGGAAUAAAGAAAAAUAUCCUGGAUGAGGCAUGAUGCAGUGCAGGUUUUAACCAGAGCUUUCAGGAGCCCUGGUGCUUAUUAACUGUCUUCUUAGGACGUCACAAAGUUUCUUUGUGCCCCAGUUUUUAUUGCCUACACAGUGAAGAGAUUUGUGAUUCGAUAACGGUGAGCCUGAAGAAACCCAAAGUGGGAAAUACAACUGCUUUUCAAAAAUGUGUAAUGAAAGGUUACUCUAUUAUUUUACUGCUUUAGCAAUUUCUUAAUGAAUGAUGGAAAUCCAUCGUUCAUUAUAUGACUUCAGAUCUACCUAAAGACUAAGUGAAAUUCAUUGAUUAUGUGGGGGUUAAAUCUGGAAGUGGCUCCCAUGAAGAGCCAACCGGUUUGACCAGGAACAUCUCCAUGCCUUGUGAGAGAGUUCAGGAAUAGAACCAGUUGGCAUGAUGAGUGUUCAGCCGGCAUGAACUGGAUGUGGAUGGGCACAGAGGAAGCAAGUGUUCAAACAGGGCUUGAACGUCUAACGUCAAGAGAGGUGGUACCUGAGGCAGGGAAAAGGAACGAGAAUAUUACAUAAACACUCAUUCGAGAAGAACGUGAGGCUAUGUGCUGAGAAGUGACAGCAUUCAAAUAUCCUGUAGGCAGAGAUGGCUGUUCGUUUGGAUGGACACAAUUUUCAGAGCCUGGGGUCUGAGCUCUGGCUCUCCAAGUCACUCCAUGUGAUCUUAAGCAAGUUUAUUUUUAUUUUUUUACAGUUCUGACUGAACAGAGUGGUGAACAUACCUAUCAGGUGUUAGGAAGUAGCAGGACUGAGUCUGUAUGGUUGGUUAUGUUGGCUUUGCCUUGUGAAGUAUAUGGUUGAAAAUUGCAUCACACAUAAAGUCCAAGUAAGCCUCCACCUGUGUAGUUUAUCAGCAAUUUCUAUGGUAUUAAUUUCUUAAAGCAUCUAAGUCCAACAUCUAUAGGAGAAAGCAAUCCUGAAGAAUCCUCCGGGGGAGGCUUGGUUGAUUUGAAACACCCUCACCCAUGUUGUAAGGCUAUUCAGUAAGCCCUCCAGGAUUCUAAACUUGGUACCUGGCAAAAAUAAGCAUCCCCACAGCUUUCUGCACUAUUCAGUCUUGUUUUGCAUUGCUCUCAACAGACUAUGUGUUUGUUUUUCCUCUCUGGCUUUGCUGACUUUUGGAGACUGUCCUGGGUAAUAGGCCUGACUGGCUCUAAGGUCCAGUUUACAUCUCACACUUGGCAGCAGCUCCAUACCCAGGCCUGCCCAGGCUGGGACCACUCACCGUGUUCUCAGGUUGUCAGCUUCGUACAACUGCAGAGGACAAGAGGCUGGCUGCUCCAAGGUAAAUAUUAAGGAAACUGGAUGCAGAUGGUAUAAAGCACAGGGCAGUGUGAGGCACAGGCUCAGAGAGAUACCUGGACCAGAUAAAUCCCUGAGAAUUAAAACAGACAAGGAUGUUCACCAAUUAUGGCAAUCAUGCACAGAACAGUGCCUGAAUGAGGUGUCUUCCUGUGGGGGUCACAGACGACUACACUGCAGUUAACCCCAGUGAGGACAGCAGGAGAACUGGCUGUGGAUCCACACACAGAUCUGUGUAAUUAUAAUCAUGUUGCAUUUAUUCAUCUAUUUUGCUUACCAUGUAAUAUAUUACAAAUGCUCUCUAUGUUUAUCUUUUAGGAAUGGCUAAAUGAAGUCACAGAGGGUUCCAUGCUUAGAAGGUCCCCUGCCUUAAUGCUCUGUAGUUACCAUCUCAAAAUUCUUAAUAAUUUUGAACAAAGUACACAAUAUUUUCAUUUGGUAGUGGCACCUGCAAAUUAUAUAGCUGGUUCUAAUUUCUACUUUAUUUUGUUUUUAUUUUUAGGACUAUGUUAUUUUAUAAUUUAUGUUAUGCUCAAACAUUCAAGCUGUACUCUUGUAUGGAUAGUCUUGCAAGAAGAUAUCUAAAUUUAAUUUUAGUAGGUUAGUUAUUCAGGAUAAAUUCUAGGCAUGAUCAGUGUGUGUGUGUGUGUGUGUGUGUGUAUUUGUGUCACAUGUUGCCUUCUGAUGUAACACCUCAUUCCUUCAUAUUAUUUGUUGAAAUAACACUAUGCAUCUCACUUCUUUUGAGCCAAGAGGAUGAUCACUCAGCUUUAGAUCUCUUGAAGAGAGCCAUCACCUUGUCUGCCUGCUCAUCAGCCCUGGGAUAAGGGACAUGUAUAGGAGAUGCCAUGUGUGCUGCUCACUGUGCCUCCUGGGAAGGAGGGUGGUGGUUACCGUCACCUGGGAGAGAACCCUUCUGGACUCAGCCUUUUCUGAAAAUGGAGGGUCAACUGAACAAUUAUUUGGUGUGGAUUAAGAAAAACAUUAUAGUAACCUAAUGCCUGGAAUAAUAAUGCCUGGAAUGCUGUAGAUGCAAAAUUCAUGCUAGUUUUUCAUUUACCCUUAAAAUCAAUUUUUCCACUUAUUUGCUUCAGUACUCAACAAAGCAAAGACUAAAGAGACUCAAGCUCCUCCUCUCAUUUUGAGUUUUUCUGAAUUUACAUAGACACAUGUUAUAAAAAUUGGCUCUGUCUCCUUUUAUUUGAUAUUCUUUGUAGUUUGGUCACAUUUUUCUGCUUUUGACCCUUUUUCUGAACCCUCUACAUCUGUUUCAAUGAUGAGAUUGCUUACUCAUAAUUUAUAAUGUAAAGAAAUGUAUAGGGGCUUAAAUAAAACUAUAUGGGAAGAUUUUAUAUAUAUAUAUAUAUAUAUAUAUAUAUAUAUAUAUAUAUACACACACACACACAACACACACACACCCCUACACACACACACCCCUACACACACACACCCCUACACACACACACACACACACUCAAAGUAAGGCUAAUAAAAAACAUUAAAAUGACAAUGAAAUCAAUAUACUAAAUUCAUAUGCCAAUAGUAUCAGUAUUAUUCUAAUUGAACAUUUACUCAGAACAAAGGCCAAAAGACAGAUACAUGAUCAUACAGUUGGAUCAAAUAUAUUUGGAAAAAAGUACUUGUAACUCAUUGCAUCUGUGUUGAACAUGUACCGUCUUUUUCUCAUGUCAUUAUUUUCUAAAUAUUAUAAUAGCUAGUUACACAGCACUUACUUGUAUUAGGUAUUAUAAUCAUUUAGAGAUUAUUUCAGUUAUUCAGGAAGAUGUCCAUAAGUUAUAUGUAACUCCAUUUUACAUACAUUAUAUGUAACCCCAUAAGUUAUAUACUACCCCAUUUUAUAUAAGGACUUGAGUGCCUGUUGAUUUUGGUAUCUUAGAGGUUCUAAAACCAAUAUGAAACCUGCAGAUACCAAAGAAUGACUAUAUAAUUCCUCUGCUGACAAAACAAAGCACUCUUUUAGCAAAAAAUCUUCCUAAUAAAUUCUCUAAUAAAUUUGUCACAUGGAUGAAAAUACUGUCUACCUUACUUCAUAGAAAGUAGUCAAUAAAUAAAAUGAAUAAGGAAUUUUGUAUAUUUUUGCUUCUAAAAGUAAGCGUAGAAACAGCAACAGUGUAAUAACUUGUUGCUAAUAUUUGUGAGAACUGAACUAGGUGCUGUGCAAAAAAAUUUUAGCUCAUUUAUUCCACACAAACACUCCAUAGGGUAUGAGUACCAUGCCCACUGGGGCAUGCAGACAAGUUGUGCCUUAAGGGCCACAGUCAUAAGUGGAAAGCCAGGGCUUGCCAAUCUGCAGUCUCAUAGUAUCCUGCCAUAUUGGGUACAUCAUGCUGCAGGGUCCCUGCACAGGUAGAGAGUUUGCCACCUUCACAGAAACUUUCACAAUUGAGUAAAAUUGGCGGAACACCCUGGAUGCUCAUCUAUAAAUGAAUGUGAUUAUUCCCGUUCCCUGCUGUUGGAAUUGUCUUUCCAGAGGGCCAUUUGGCAAGUCUUGUAUACGAUGUCCUCAACUUGUCCAUCCCCUUUGGCCCAGUAUUAAACUUCAAGGAAUAUGGUAUCAGGAAAUUACACCUAUGUAUACACAAGAUUCAUAGACACAAAUUGGAUAUAUUUGAAAUAUUCUACAGUAGAGAAGUAGUUGCAAACACUAUAAUGAAACCAAUGAAGUGGAAUCAUAUGCCUCUAUGAGUUUUUUUUACAGGACCUAUAAAUACACUGAUAAAUGUUCACAGUAUUUUGUGAGGUGGGAGAAAAUGUAGCCUCAAGAUACCUAUAUUGUGGUUUAAUAGAUAAAAAAAGAUACCCAGUGCUUUAAUAGAUAAAAUCGUUAGAUAGUAUAUAUUAAAAUGUAAAGUCCUAUGGUCCAGUAGUUUUUCUCCAUAUUAUCACCCAUAGGCCGUAAUCACAUGAAUAUAAAAAGUUAAGUAUGCAGAUGUUAAUUGCCAUCUUAUCUUUUAAUAAUGAAAAUUGGAAAUCACAUUAUAUUUAUCAAGAAUGAAAGAGUUAUAUACAUGGAAGUAUUUAAAUACAUGGAAGUUCCUGACUGUGGAAUGCUAUGCAAAAGUUAGAAGGAAUGGGAUACAGGCAUGAAAAUAGCAAAAUAUUUUCUAGCAGAGUAUAAAUUAUUUGUUUCUGUUUUUGUCUUAAGAUGAGUCUUGUUGAAUUGCCCAGGCUGGCUUGGAACUUAUGAGCUCUUGCCUCAGCCACCUGAGUAACUGGGAUUACAGGUGAGCACCUUGGCCCUUGGCUUGGUUACGUUAUUUUGCUAAUUCAGUACAAUUUACUGCUAUGUUUAUAUGAAUAUGCAUGUUGAAAAGGUUUAGAUUUUCUCUAGAAGAAGAAUGACUGAUGAUAAUGGUUACUUAGUCUGAGAUAAUAAAUAGGAGAUAUGCUAUUUAUAUAUGCAAAAUUUGUUUUAGCUAUAGUUUUGGAUCAUUUGCAAGAAAAAUACAAUAAUCUGUUACUUAUGUAAUUUAAAUUCACUGUUCAUACACUGAGUGUGAAAGAAAAACAAAACUAAGUAUACAAAAAUGUUGAGUGCUGUCUUAGUAUUUGAUUUUGCUUUGACUAUUGUCCACGUUAAGGUCACUAAAUUGCUAAUUUUAAUUCUAGUUCUAAGUCUGAAAAUGCCAUACUUUAUAAGACUUGUAUAGGAUAAAUGUCCAUAAAUAAUUUUUGACAGAGCUGGCUGUUUGUCUAAAUUAGCAUAUUCCAAUGUCAUACUGCCAUCUUCUUCCUUUACUUAAUUUUCUUCUUAAUAUUACUGUAUAACAUUUGACAUGUAUGUUUAUUUGUGUGUGGUUGGUCUCUCCUUGAUAGAACAUAAGCUCCCCUAGGCGGGCCCUUGCUAUUUGAUUUAUUGCUAUUUGUUUUCUGUGGUGCAUAGCAUAGGGCCCUAUACAAAGAAGGCACUAAAUAAUUAAAUAAAUAGUUGUUUUUGCACAUAUAUGCCCAGGGAAGGGCCUGACAUGAUUUACAAUCACUAAAACACUAAUAGUGUUUUUCCUAGUGGUAGGGUUAUGGUGGAUUUUUAUUUACAUGAAAUGAGCUCUGUUUAAAAAAAUGUUUUCUAAAUGUGGGGGCUGGGAAACUGAUCUAAAAUAACUGCUCCUUGUAUAAAGUCUGUUUAUCUUGUGGCCUCCAAGGAAAUUUGGGUUAUUGACAUAGCCUUCCUUUUAUAGUGAGUAGAUGAUUCUGUAAAUUGACGUGCACUUUUUUUUUUAGGUGACCACGUGGCCUCAAGCAUUACCUUAAGAAUCAAUGAUUAAAAAAAAAAAUCAAUUAUAAUUUUGCCUACACCACAUCAUGUGGCAGAAACUGGGUAUGUUGUAAUUAAGACACAGAAAGUCUGCAAUUUUUCUUUGUAAUAUGAUUUGUAUUGUGAAGCAGGGACAAAAGGAACUCAGUUUCAACUUUGUAUGAAGAGCUCUUUAUGAGGAAGCUUCGUGGGGAUUGUCUCUGUUUGCCUCUAUGUCUUUGCCUCGGAAACUGCAGGGGAUAAAUCAGAGAUGAGCUUCGAGGAACUGACUUCUUAGCAGUUCAAGGAACCCAUAGCAGGCUUGUUAACACUGUGAGGCCUGAGGACAAAAUUGGCUUGAGGAAGUGAACUCUGCCUUGAGUCUCCUCUGUUCAGCUGGUCUUGGCUGUGAACCUUCUGUAUGCCCACCCAGGACUACAAGCUGGGGGGCUGUGUCAGGGAUGUGUUACAUGGCUGUGCCUGUCACAUGCUGGCCCACCUCUACUGAGAAGCCACAAUGCAUGUGAGGUCUUCUUUCUGUUGAUAACGGAGUACCUCUCAUAUCUUCGGGGUCUGUAAUUCCUCUUUAAAUAUGCAGUGGAAUUGUUUGUUGCUAUUGUUAGAAAUGUAAAUGAAAAUUUCCUGAAAGAUUUAGUUAAAGGACUUCAAUGUUUAUUAAGGAAAUGUCUUGUCCCUUUCCCUAAAAUUAUAAUUUUUAAAUUAGAAAAAUGUCUUAAAGUAGAGAAAAACCUAUAUACCAAUAAACUGUUAUUUGAACCCUUAUGUGCCAAACACUGGGUAUAUCCACAUGAGAAAGCACUAUUCCCAUUUCACAGAUAAAGAAAGGGAAGGUCAAAAAACAUGACUGACUGACUUACCUAGACAUUUACUGGCUUACAGAGACUGAACUCCUGGCUGUCUAUUUGCAGCCAAGAGUAGUUACUGAGAUAGAGAGUACUGGCGUGAGAUGCAGGUGAGUUAACAGAACCUUCAGCAAAGGUAUUAAAGCUAAGAAUCUAG
rnacentral:lncRNA from 1 species